rnacentral:rRNA from 1 species
UACGUAGGGGGCUAGCGUUGUCCGGAAUCAUUGGGCGUAAAGAGCGUGUAGGCGGCUAUUUAAGUCCUGCGUGAAAUCCUGCGGCUCAACCGCAGACGGUCGUGGGAAACUGGAUGGCUAGAGUGCGGGAGAGGAGAGUGGAAUUCCCGGUGUAGCGGUGAAAUGCGCAGAUAUCGGGAAGAACACCCGUGGCGAAGGCGGCUCUCUGGAACGCAACUGACGCUGAGACGCGAAAGCGUGGGGAGCAACAGG